GAUGAACGCUGGCGGCGUGCUUAACACAUGCAAGUCGAACGGUGAAGCCGAGCUUGCUUGGUGGAUCAGUGGCGAACGGGUGAGUAACACGUGAGCAACCUGCCCUGGACUCUGGGAUAAGCGCUGGAAACGGCGUCUAAUACUGGAUAUGAGACGUGAUCGCAUGGUCGUGUUUGGAAAGAUUUUUCGGUCUGGGAUGGGCUCGCGGCCUAUCAGCUUGUUGGUGAGGUAAUGGCUCACCAAGGCGUCGACGGGUAGCCGGCCUGAGAGGGUGACCGGCCACACUGGGACUGAGACACGGCCCAGACUCCUACGGGAGGCAGCAGUGGGGAAUAUUGCACAAUGGGCGAAAGCCUGAUGCAGCAACGCCGCGUGAGGGAUGACGGCCUUCGGGUUGUAAACCUCUUUUAGCAGGGAAGAAGCGAAAGUGACGGUACCUGCAGAAAAAGCGCCGGCUAACUACGUGCCAGCAGCCGCGGUAAUACGUAGGGCGCAAGCGUUAUCCGGAAUUAUUGGGCGUAAAGAGCUCGUAGGCGGUUUGUCGCGUCUGCUGUGAAAUCCCGAGGCUCAACCUCGGGCCUGCAGUGGGUACGGGCAGACUAGAGUGCGGUAGGGGAGAUUGGAAUUCCUGGUGUAGCGGUGGAAUGCGCAGAUAUCAGGAGGAACACCGAUGGCGAAGGCAGAUCUCUGGGCCGUAACUGACGCUGAGGAGCGAAAGGGUGGGGAGCAAACAGGCUUAGAUACCCUGGUAGUCCACCCCGUAAACGUUGGGAACUAGUUGUGGGGACCAUUCCACGGUUUCCGUGACGCAGCUAACGCAUUAAGUUCCCCGCCUGGGGAGUACGGCCGCAAGGCUAAAACUCAAAGGAAUUGACGGGGACCCGCACAAGCGGCGGAGCAUGCGGAUUAAUUCGAUGCAACGCGAAGAACCUUACCAAGGCUUGACAUAUACGAGAACGGGCCAGAAAUGGUCAACUCUUUGGACACUCGUAAACAGGUGGUGCAUGGUUGUCGUCAGCUCGUGUCGUGAGAUGUUGGGUUAAGUCCCGCAACGAGCGCAACCCUCGUUCUAUGUUGCCAGCACGUAAUGGUGGGAACUCAUGGGAUACUGCCGGGGUCAACUCGGAGGAAGGCGGGGAUGACGUCAAAUCAUCAUGCCCCUUAUGUCUUGGGCUUCACGCAUGCUACAAUGGCCGGUACAAAGGGCUGCAAUACCGUGAGGUGGAGCGAAUCCCAAAAAGCCGGUCCCAGUUCGGAUUGAGGUCUGCAACUCGACCUCAUGAAGUCGGAGUCGCUAGUAAUCGCAGAUCAGCAACGCUGCGGUGAAUACGUUCCCGGGUCU
rnacentral:rRNA from 1 species